UCAUUUUUUUGCGGUUUAGUAAAUCCAGUGAGGCAACAGUGUUUGAACAACAAGAUGCAGAGAUGAGAUGCAGACAGCUGAUGACACAUGAUAUUUGAGGAUAAAUCAAAUCUUACUUCCCUAAUCUAGAGGCUCUCGGGUAGUUGCCAGGACCAAAUAGAGUUCCAUACCAGUCAUAUAAAAAAAGCUUGAUGUCUUAUGGUUCCUGUGAAGGUGGUAUAGAAGAGGCAAACCAUCCCAAAAGCAUGGAAGAGCAGGGUGAGUGUUAAUCCUCAAGGAAAAAGAUGCCUCGAACAUCGACCAAUUACGGCAAAUCAAUCUCCUGAAUGUUAAAGGGAAGAGCUUCUUUAGCAUUGUUGCUCAAAGGAUGACAACCUACCUGAAACAGAACAAUUGUAUUGACACGUCGGUACAGAAAGCUGGAAUACCAGGCUUCUCGGGAUGCUUAGAACACACAAGCAUGAUAUGGCAUUAAAUCCAGACUGCAAAGAGGGAAGGAAAAGAUCUGCCCUUCUUAUUCCUGGACCUAGCCAAUGCUUUUGGGUCCGUCCCCCAUUCUCUCCUCUGGACAGCCUUCAAGUUCUUCCAGAUGCCAACGACCACCACAAACCUGAUAACUUGGUGACCUCCCAUAAAUCUCCUGGUGGAUCUUGGGCAUGUCCUGAGCCCAGCUGCAGAGGAAUUCACCUGAAAGGAACAACCUUUCUAUUGUAAAACCGUCUGAAUGCUUUUACUGUUUAUGGGAAGGUUUAUCUAAAUAGGAGGGCCUGAACAGCAAAGUGUCAUCACUCAGGCCGCCCUCACUGAGAGCCUCUGAAUGCAUUGUUUUGUGCUUGCCUUGCACAUUGCUCUCCAAUGAGGCCGGCCUCAGCCCGCUUUUGAGUGCCUGAUACAGAUAUGAGGUCAUGGGCUGAGGAAAAAGCCUCUCCCUCUUUGCUGAGGCCUGUGGGUACUUCGACCCGAGUAAACAAACAAGCAGGAGGCACUGCUUCCCUAAGAGGGCCAAUGAUUCUCCUCAAAAAGAAGCAAGAGCCACAAAGGCAGCUUUUAGCCGCUGGUGCAGACGAUCCCCCGGGAGACGCUUUGUGGCUUCAUAAUGAUCAUCAAU